rnacentral:rRNA from 1 species
AUUGAACGCUGGCGGCAUGCUUUACACAUGCAAGUCGAACGGUAACAGGCCGCAAGGUGCUGACGAGUGGCGAACGGGUGAGUAAUGCAUCGGAACGUGCCCCGUCGUGGGGGAUAACUACUCGCAAGAGUAGCUAAUACCGCAUACGAUCUAUGGAUGAAAGCGGGGGACCGUAAGGCCUCGCGCGAUUGGAGCGGCCGAUGUCAGAUUAGGUAGUUGGUGGGGUAAAGGCUCACCAAGCCAACGAUCUGUAGCUGGUCUGAGAGGACGACCAGCCACACUGGAACUGAGACACGGCCCAGACUCCUACGGGAGGCAGCAGUGGGGAAUUUUGGACAAUGGGCGCAAGCCUGAUCCAGCAAUGCCGCGUGCAGGAAGAAGGCCUUCGGGUUGUAAACUGCUUUUGUACGGAACGAAACGGCUCUGGUUAAUACCCGGGGCUAAUGACGGUACCGUAAGAAUAAGCACCGGCUAACUACGUG